AGUGGGAUAGCUGAGUCAUAUGGUGAUUCCAUUUUUAGUUUUUUGAGGAAUUUACAUACUGCUUUCCAGAAUGGUUGUACUAAUUUGCAGUUCCACCAGCAAG
rnacentral:pre_miRNA from 1 species